rnacentral:misc_RNA from 1 species
GAUGAAGAACGUAGUGAAAUGCGAUAAGUAAUGUGAAUUGCAGAAUUCAGUGAAUCAUCGAAUCUUUGAACGCACAUUGCGCCCGUCAGUAUUCUGGCGGGCAUGCCUGUUCGAGCGUCAUUACGCCCCUCAAGUCCCCUGUGGACUUGGUGUUGGGGAUCGGCGAGGCUGGUUUUCCAGCACAGCCGUCCCUUAAAUUAAUUGGCGGUCUCGCCGUGGCCCUCCUCUGCGCAGUAGUAAAACACUCGCAACAGGAGCCCGGCGCGGUCCACUGCCGUAAAACCCCCCAACUUUUUAUAGUUGACCUCGAAUCAGGUAGGACUACCCGCUGAACUUUAGCAUAUCAAUAAGCGGAGGA